rnacentral:tRNA from 1 species
GACCCCGUAGCUCAGUUGGAUAGAGCACCAGCCUUCUAAGUUGGUGGUCGCGCGUUCGAAUCGCGUCGGGGUCGCCA